UUUUGACCCUCUUUGUUUUGCUCGAUGUAGACAAUGAUGAAGGACCAGUUUGCGAACUAUGUAGUUCAGAAGAUUCUGGAAAUAAGCAACGAUAGACAGCGGGAAAUAUUACUUAAUCGAAUCAGGAUACACCUGCAUGCUCUGAAGAAAUAUACAUAUGGGAAACACAUUGUUGCUCGAUUCGAACAAUUAUCUGGUGAAGAGUGUGGGAGCUCUGAAGCUUAAUGGAUUGGGAGUAAGGAUUACGAGAACAGCUAUUUAUUUCUGACCAGCGGAAGCAUUUUGUUGCUGGUGGAGGGGACCCUUGUAAUCACCAGCUUGAUACUGCUACUAGUGGUUGGUAGCAGUAGCAGUACUAGUAAUUUUUUAUUUGGGGGAUCAAAAAAGUAGUAGUACUUGAAAACAGUACAUAUCUGUAUCCUGCGUCUCUGUCUGUAAGUUGUUAAACUAUACAAGUGUAUGCUGAUGUAUAGUGGUAAAUUAAAUGGGGGUAUUUGUUUCAGUAGUAAGCUCUCGAAACA